rnacentral:rRNA from 1 species
AACAGGAUUAGAUACCCUGGUAGUCCACGCCCUAAACGAUGUCGAUUAGCUGUUGGGCAGCUUGACUGCUUAGUAGCGUAGCUAACGCGUGAAAUCGACCGCCUGGGGAGUACGGUCGCAAGAUUAAAACUCAAAGGAAUUGACGGGGACCCGCACAAGCGGUGGAUGAUGUGGAUUAAUUCGAUGCAACGCGAAGAACCUUACCUGGUCUUGACAUGUACGGAACCUUCCAGAGACGGAAGGGUGCCUUCGGGAACCGUAACACAGGUGCUGCAUGGCUGUCGUCAGCUCGUGUCGUGAGAUGUUGGGUUAAGUCCCGCAACGAGCGCAACCCUUGUCAUUAGUUGCCAUCAUUCAGUUGGGCACUCUAAUGAGACUGCCGGUGACAAACCGGAGGAAGGUGGGGAUGACGUCAAGUCCUCAUGGCCCUUAUGACCAGGGCUUCACACGUCAUACAAUGGUCGGUACAAAGGGUAGCCAAGCCGCGAGGCGGAGCCAAUCUCAUAAAACCGAUCGUAGUCCGGAUUGCACUCUGCAACUCGAGUGCAUGAAGUCGGAAUCGCUAGUAAUCGCAGGUCAGCAUACUGCGGUGAAUACGUUCCCGGGUCUUGUACACACCGCCCGUCACACCAUGGGAGUGGGGGAUACCAGAAGUAGGUAGGGUAACCGCAAGGAGCCCGCUUACCACGGUAUGCUUCAUGACUGGGGUGAAGUCGUAACAAGGUAACC